rnacentral:rRNA from 1 species
GACGUAGGGGGCGAGCGUUGUCCGGAAUUACUGGGCGUAAAGAGCACGUAGGCGGGAACUUAAGUCAGGUGUGAAAGACCGGGGCUCAACUCCGGGGUUGCACUUGAAACUGGGUUUCUUGAGGGCAGGAGAGGAAAGCAGAAUUCCUGGUGUAGCGGUGAAAUGCGUAGAAAUCAGGAGGAAUACCAGUGGCGAAGGCGGCUUUCUGGACUGACCCUGACGCUGAGGUGCGAAAGCGUGGGUAGCAAACAGGAUUAGAUACCCUGGUAGUCCACGCCGUAAACGAUGGAUACUAGGUGUAGGAGGUAUCGACCCCUUCUGUGCCGCAGCUAACGCAAUAAGUAUCCCGCCUGGGGAGUACGGUCGCAAGGCUGAA